rnacentral:rRNA from 1 species
GACGAACGCUGGCGGCGUGCCUAAUACAUGCAAGUAGAACGCUGAAGGAGGAGCUUGCUUCUCUGGAUGAGUUGCGAACGGGUGAGUAACGCGUAGGUAACCUGCCUGGUAGCGGGGGAUAACUAUUGGAAACGAUAGCUAAUACCGCAUAAUAGCAGUUGUUGCAUGACAACUGUUUGAAAGGUGCAAUUGCACCACUACCAGAUGGACCUGCGUUGUAUUAGCUAGUUGGUGGGGUAACGGCUCACCAAGGCGACGAUACAUAGCCGACCUGAGAGGGUGAUCGGCCACACUGGGACUGAGACACGGCCCAGACUCCUACGGGAGGCAGCAGUAGGGAAGCUUCGGCAAUGGACGGAAGUCUGACCGAGCAACGCCGCGUGAGUGAAGAAGGUUUUCGGAUCGUAAAGCUCUGUUGUAAGAGAAGAACGAGUGUGAGAGUGGAAAGUUCACACUGUGACGGUAUCUUACCAGAAAGGGACGGCUAACUACGUG